GCGUAAGUUUGGUCAUUGGAAUGGUGUGGAUGACAAGUCCUCAGAUGUGGAAUUCUUUGAGUAUGUAGAGGCAGUGAAACUAACAGGGGAUCUCAAUGUUCCUGCUGGCCAGGGAACAUUUCGUGGGAAGUCGCAAUUCUAACCGUGGAAUGUAUCCAGAUGAAUUAGGAGUGGUUGCAAGUUACAAAGGUCAAGGAAGAAUAGCAGAAUUUGGGUUUCGAAAUCCACAAUGGGUUGAUGGUGAACUUCUCCAACUCAAUGGGAAGGGCAUUGGACCAUAUGUCAAAGGUGCAGAUCUUGGUUUCCUUUACGUUAUUCCUGAGCAAAGUUUCCUGGUGUUGUUUAACCGGUUGAAAUUACCAGACUAAACCACUUUUUGUCUCCAUCCUGAUAUGGCAAGAGAUAAAAGAUCUGAUAGUGAGGAGAGUACUUGUGUGUAUUGUUUGUUGAGAAAUGCAGGAGGUUGUAUCCCACAUCGUAAGCCCUUGUACCUUAACAUAUUUUCUUGUAUUUUAUUUUAUUUUUAUGAGGGGGCAUUUUUCCUUGUAUGCCUUCCAUGCAUAAAUUCUUUCCUCCUUGUGUAAAUCUUCUUUGUUAAUUAACCAAACUAAUAAACAUGUAGUGCAUUUGAAGGAUCAUUCAACUGCAGUUUUCUGAGGUGUGGAUGCUUGUUAAGG
rnacentral:misc_RNA from 1 species